ACGUUUUCUUAUAAUUUAUUUUCAAAUAUAAAUUAUUAUACUUUUCAUUAAUUUAGUUAUAAAAAGUAUACUAAAGUUCUUUGUUUAUCGUAGUUCUGUGGCUGAUUGAAAGUGCACGCUGUAAUUGAUAAGAUUUAUGAUUGCGAUAGAAGAUACUACAAUUUUACAUUUUUAUAUUUUUCAAAUUGAUCGAUAUCAUGGAAGAACGAGGAGAGGACGACGACGACGACUACAAUGAGGGAGGACGGCCAUUCCUGACAAAAAUUGGGCCUUUAAGCGGCUUGUGACGUUUGACAACUAGUCGACAUAAAAGCUGGAUUGCAGGAAUAAAGCAAACAUUCAUCGGAGGAAGCACGAUGUCUAACUAUCGAUUUUCCAUAUACACUGCAAUAUUGUUGUUAAGAUGUCGUCUUGAGAAGUUAUUCAAAGUUGGAUACUGUAAGAAAAUAUACACAUAUUGAAUAAAUAAGGACAGUCCAUUUAAAGCGAAGUUAAUCGAUAAGCAACAAACUUUGUAGAAUAGACCCAGGCCGAGUGAGUAGAAAAAAUGGCCGCGAGUCGAACUCGCUUUCGGAAAUGGGGAAGAACAUCGGUCCCCAAUAAAAAAAAGAAAAAGAUAUAGCAAUAAUUUCCAUCAGCGUCUAGACACAAUCGAAACUCCAAUGCCGAUGAGGAGUAUCCUCGGCAAUAGCGCGAGUCUUCAAUACCCAAUCAAGUUUGAAAAUAAGGCAGCCGAGCGAAAGCCACGUCCACAGCAUCCGCGGCAAUCGAUGCGAUGAUCGGCGCGCGUACAUAUGCAAGGCGGAAUGAGAAAGGAGGAAGCCGCUCGCUCGGUGCUUCCAGCUGGCUGAAUUGACGAUAUCCUUGGCUGACCGUAUUUUCUGGCGGAGUUUCACGGGGCAGAACAGAUCUUGCUCCAUCUCUCUCUCUCUCUCUCUCUCUUUCUCUCUCUUUCCUCGGUGGAGCUUCGCGCGGACAUAUAUCAAGCAGUUAUUGCGGAUGCUACGAGGACUCAUAAUUUCUCCAGCUUCGUUUUGUUUCUGUUGCGAAUUGAGCAAUGAGACGAACAGAAAAUCGCGUUGAGAAAACUGAUGCGUGGGAGAGCAACGCGUGAGCAGCGGCAGCGGCGCCGGCCGACAAGAGGGCCGAUACUGUCGAGAUGUUAAGGAUGAUAAAGGUUAGAGAAAGACGGACAGCGAGUAGGAAUCGUUGUACGAUUGGAAGGGAGAGAAAAGUGAAAUAAAACUAGCAAGGCCAAUGUAAUGUACGAGGAGCGCGCAUGUCUGACUAAUUAAGGCUGUUACUACUGGAUGCUGUGCCGGCGAUCCCGCUAGCGUCCUUAAUUGACGCGUGGAUGCAUAAAAAGUCACAAUUAUCCAUCGACCUGUUGUAAAUACUGAAUAAUUGAUAAAUUGUUGCGAAAUUUCGCUGACUAACUGCGCGAUCAGUCAACCUUUCGUUACGCAACUCGCGGAGAGCCAACGUUGUUAUGUUAAGCGUCUAAGCAGUCGUUCGCGAGAACAACAAAUGCGCAAUUCUUCCAUGAAAAACGAAAAUAAAACGACGAUCCAGUAAAUAGAGAGAUAAAAAAGAAGAAAAAAGCGAACUCGGCUAGUUCCGCAACUUGGCAUGCGCUUCGAUCGGUUUCUGAGGAACGGAGGCGGCAGCGGCGCGCAACGGCAUACACGUGCGAUUUCGCGAAAAACCUAAUGAAUAUCGAACGAGUCCGGUGAACGUUGCGUCAGCGUGAGGUGCAAUCGAAAAGCUCUCGCAAUGGGAAAUGCCGAGCGUAUCCUUGCGAACAAUAAGCGAAUUGCCUGCGAGCGCGCGUUUUGCUUUUUGUUCGAUCUAUCGAGCGAAUGUCCCGAGCACGCAUGCUAAAUAGUCUGUAUCACAGCCCGCAGGGAGGUCGGGAGGUUUACCUCAUUUUUUUUAUCUCUCGCUCUCCCUCUCUCUCUCUCUCUCUCGCGCGCGCGCGCCAGGCGAGUUUUGUAAUCAAUCGCGCGUUACAAAGCUCGUUUGUAUGCAACGCUCGUCGUCGAGCUGCUUAUAAGUAACGCGGUAAUGACAUGGCCUGUCAUGCCGGCCGUGCGCGCGCUCGCCGACGGUUGCCGCUUUUCCGCCGGUCCUUUUUUCUUAUAAAUUUCUCCAUUGCGAUCGGUUCGUUGGCUUAUUUCUUUUUUAUCUCUCGCUCGCUGACUCGAGUCUGGCAUUCGUAUUUCUGUUCUCGACAACAUAUCACGUAGAUUUUCUCAUUUGUCCGUAUUGUAUAAUCACAUUUAUACUUCGAUGCCAUUCUAUUUUAAUAAUACUUGCGAUGAUCGAAGCAACCGAACUUUAUAUGUAUAAUUUUAAGCAUAUGUGAUUUGUUUGGCUCACUCAUCCAAUAUGCCAUAUAGCAGUAAACAAUAUCACAAUGAUAAUAUGUUAUUUCAAUUAGAAAUCAAUUAGUUGUUAAAAACAUAAUGUGAUCGUUGCAUUACCGAAUGUUAUAGAAAGUAAGCAAAUAAAGAAUUGCAUAAAAGUUGUACCGUUAAGAAAGGGAUUUUGCUUUUCUUGUGAUCCACCAGUCGAUUCGAUACGAUGCAAAAAAAUGUUAUGCAAAAUCAGCAACUGAGAUUAAUUAUUCAGUUGGUAUUAAAAUAUAUUUUUAAGCAAUGGUUGUUCGCUUUCGCUUGGUUUAACCCCAGUGAAACACACAAUGAAAGCAAGAGAGCAAAUUGAAAAGUCGUUACACCGAUUACCUAAUGUAAGUGUGUGUUAUACUUAGAGCAAGAAAAAAAAUUACGACGAAGUGUUUUGUGUACGCACAGAGGAAGUAAACGUACGGCCAAUUAAAAAAAAAUCCUAAUAUAAAGCUCUCUUUUUCUGGCCUCGUAGCGAUUUUUCAAAUGGAGAAGCCGCAUAUCGCUCAGCCUUAAUACGGAAUAAGAAUAUUUAUUGCCAACUCGCAUGCACGUAGAAUGAGUAACCGAGUCGGCGCAAUUAGCGAAAUAUUCUGUAAGUCGCGCUUAGAAUUGAAAUUUUUAUGUUGCUUUUAACAACGCCAUUCGCCACUUGAACUAUUUUUUUGCAUAUCAUAAUUAAAACAUUAAGAUUGCAUGAGCUCGGAAAUACAUCAAUCUCGUAAGCAACGUAGCUGCAAAAUUUCAAGAUGAUGGAUUAUCCUGCACCUUGAGAUGUUUAUCAUUGAUUUAAGUUGCUCUUAUCAAUUUUUUAUAUUGCGUUGGUACUUGUAAAUCAAAUUGCGUGAUGUAAUAAAGCUUAUAUUGGUAACGUACGUGCAGCGGAAUGAUUGUCAUUUUAAUUAUUCAUGUAUCGAAUAAAAUUAAGAAUAUUGUUGCACUUGAAAUUCAUCUCACUAUUAAUAAAAAUCAAGUCUGAACAUUCUUCAAUAACAUUCUCUUAGCAGUUUGUUGCUAUUUUGUAAGAAAUAACAAUGAGAUUCGUGCGUUCAGGCACCGUAUUACAGCAUUCUCCAAACACGAUUUCUCGAGCAAUUUGUAGAAUCAGACAAUGUAAAUUUCUCUUUGUCGGAAUAUUAAGGAUAGUAAAUAUGAAUUAAACAUAGCAAAGAAAACUGUACUAAUGUAUCUUUAAUAAUACUUCUGAAACAAUUAGAAAACUUGGCAUUUUCAUAGUACGAUCGUGUUUCUGAUUGAGCGCACAGUUUCGUUUUUGAUCUUACGGUAUACUGACAAGAUCUCAUAAUGCACAGUUAAACCAAGCUUUCAUAUAACGUGAAUUUAUAGUCCGAAUAAUUAUUCAGUCUGGCGAAGUCAAUUGUUGACAGAACCGGCACGUUAAGAUUAAGUGAUCGGCAAGCUGAGUUCUAACUGAUGUAGUGGUUCGGCGACACAAAAAAAAACUACCAACAUUCAAAAAAUUAUCAUGCGCGAUCUUGUGCAGAAUCGCCAAGGACAAAGCGAGCAGACAUCCAAGAAAAAGAGAAGAGCGAAGUCUAGAUACGCGAAAGGGCAGAAUGAAAUGCCACAGAGCACUCGUGGAGCUAAUGGGGAUGAACGCUCGCGAUCAGGGCAGUUUUUCGUAGCACGGUUAUCGUCGCCGCGCUGGCGCUGUCGAUCGAUCAUUUCGUCGCCGCGCGCUACAUUCGGUGCUCCGGCGGAAAAAUAGACGAAGCACCGUUCGUCCGAUAAAUCGAGAGCCGCGAUGGCAGGGGAGAGGGCACACGGGUUUUGAGCUCAUUUGCUGCGCGCGCGAGAGCCACUUGCAUUAGAUCGGCGCAAUGCAUAAUGCAUCGUGUAACAGCAGCUUCCGCGAAAUCCCGACAUCUGCGCCGGCGGCAGCAGCGCCGACGAAUCAUAUAAAUUUACACGCGACGCUCGUGGCCAGUUUUUUUUUUCUUUCCUUCUUCGCCGUUGUCGCGCAGAGCCCCGCGAGAUCUAUCGGGUUUUAUGGGCAGACGUGAUGCCCCGCGCGAGAGACUCUUCUCCGCCGUAUGGCGAAAGUACAGUUGCCAGCAGCGUGAAAGAGAGAACAGAUUAUUUAGUCGGGGAAAAAUGCCGAGACGCGCUAACUCGCCGAUUGGCUCGACCGAUCGGUCGAGGCGGAGAUUCCGUUGUUACGCACUGCAGCUCUUUGCGUCGCAUUAGAUUCGAGCAAACAAUUUGCCGUAUGCGGUUCUUACGAUAGCUUAAGAGCUUUAUUUUCUUGUCAAUCGUGAUGCAUGUUUCGACGUAUAAGGACAUCUUUUUAUGGAAUAACUGAAAGCUUUAAAGAGUAUGGACUCGCUUACUGUUUUAUGCUCCUGACCAAUUGCGCAUCAUUUGUAAAUGUCAAAAAUCAUACUACUUCGUACCUUUAAUUGAAUCUCCAAUAAUUCAAUAGUGAUUUUACAUAAUCAGUAAAAUAUGAACUGAUAUACAAGUUACUGUAACAAUUAAAUCUUUUAGAUAGAUUGGUAACAUAUAAAGUAAUGAAAAUACAUUGGUAGUCACGAUUAUUCGUCGAUUACGAAUAAACUGUUUUGUAAAUAAUUACGUGGCUUUUAUAUAUAAACGAAUAGUGAAGUGAGAAUGUUGUAGCUUUUACACAAUUAAAAUCUUUUCAAGAACUUUAAGAACAGACUGUCUGAUAAAUUCAUCCAUAAUACUAAAAAAGCAAUUUUUUUUUGUCAAUUUUAAAAAUAUUUCAAGCAUUAUCACUGUUAGA